rnacentral:lncRNA from 1 species
GAUUUUCAAUAACAUUUUCCACAGAAAGUACUGUUAUAGAUAGAGAUAAUUGUAAGCAGCAAGAAUUUUUAGUAAAGUAAGAUCUACAAACACAUCACCAUCACCAAAACACAAUUUUGUCAUGAAUUCAUCUGUGUCCAUUGUUUAAUAUUCACAUAGACCAAGGUGAGCGACACAGGCUCUUUAGAGCCUCUAGUUUUU